rnacentral:rRNA from 1 species
CGCAGCCGCGGUAAUUCCAGCUCCAAUAGCGUAUAUUAAAGUUGUUGCAGUUAAAAAGCUCGUAGUUGAAUUUCGAGACCGGUUUAUUGGUCGUGCUUUUGUACGUACUGGUAUUAUUGGUUUCUCCUUUCUGACGAAUCUUAAUGCCAUUAAUUUGGUGUUUUGGGGAAUCAGGACUGUUACUUUGAAAAAAUUAGAGUGUUUAAAGCAGGCUCACGCUUGAAUACAUUAGCAUGGAAUAACGGAAUAGGACGUUUGAUUCUAUUUUGUUGGUUUCUAGGAUCGACGUAAUGAUUAAUAGGGAUAGUUGGGGGCAUUAGUAUUCAAUUGUCAGAGGUGAAAUUCUUGGAUUUAUUGAAGACUAACUACUGCGAAAGCAUUUGCCAAGGAUGUUUUCAUUAAUCAAGAACGAAAGUUAGGGGAUCGAAGACGAUCAGAUACCGUCGUAGU